UACGGGGGGAGCAAGCGUUGUUCGGAUUUACUGGGCGUAAAGGGCGCGUAGGCGGUCGUGACAAGUCACUUGUGAAAUCUCCGGGCUUAACUCGGAACGGUCAAGUGAUACUGUCGGACUAGAGUACAGAAGGGGCAACUGGAAUUCUCGGUGUAGCGGUGAAAUGCGUAGAUAUCGAGAGGAACACCUGCGGCGAAGGCGGGUUGCUGGGCCGACACUGACGCUGGAGCGCGAAAGCCAGGGGAGCAAACGGG
rnacentral:rRNA from 1 species